CCAAACAAAACCUUAACCGCUCUUCUCAAUAUUUUGAAUAAUUACAUGAUGAUUACAAUGAUUAAAAGCAACAAAGGGACAAAUAUGCAAGAAAUGCAACAUAGAGCUAUACGAAAAGCAAGGAAAAAUGAAAAAGAAACCUCACUAGAAUAUGGAGUUUCCAAAUUUCUUGUGAGCACUCAGGCGGGGCCAAAUUCACCUUCAGGUAAGCUCAUCUACUCUCUUCUUUCCCCUUCUUUUGUUGCAUGCACUUCUUCUCAUUCUUCUGAAUCUUCUUCUUCUCGCCCUGCUCCUUUGGUUGUCUGGUGCAUGUGAGUUUGAAGCUUGAGCUUUAGGGCUUCGUGAUGAAGCUCACAAAACCCUUUGUGGAAGAGAUUUUUGUGACGGGGUUUGUGAGUUUUUUGUACGGGUUUCU
rnacentral:lncRNA from 1 species